rnacentral:rRNA from 1 species
AGCAGUAGCCGCGGUAAUACGAAGGGUGCAAGCGUUACUCGGAAUUACUGGGCGUAAAGCGUGCGUAGGUGGUGGUUUAAGUCCGUUGUGAAAGCCCUGGGCUCAACCUGGGAAUUGCAGUGGAUACUGGGUCACUAGAGUGUGGUAGAGGAUAGUGGAAUUUCCGGUGUAGCAGUGAAAUGCGUAGAGAUCGGAAGGAACAUCUGUGGCGAAGGCGACUAUCUGGGCCAACACUGACACUGAGGCACGAAAGCGUGGGGAGCAAACAGGAUUAGAUACCCCCGUAGUCCAUGUCUCUUAUAC